ensembl:lncRNA
AGGCCCUGGAGCGUGUCCAGAGGAGGGCAACAAAGCUGGUGCGGGGUCUGGAGCGCAGGCCUCACGAGGAGCGGCUGAGGGAGCUGGGAUUGUUUAGCCUGGAGGAGGCUCAGGGGAGACCUUAUUGCUCUCUAGAACUACCUGAAGGGAGCUUGUACCGAGCUGGGGGUCGGCCUCUUCUCUCGUGUGACUAGUGAUAGGACUAGAGGGAAUGGCUUCAAGCUGCACCAGGGGAGGUUAGGAAAUACCGCUUCUCUGAAAGGGUGGUCAGGCACUGGAAUGGGCUGCCCAGGGAGCUGGUGGAGUCACCGACCCCGGAGGUGUUCACGGCACGUUUGGACGUUGUGUUGGGGGACGUGGUUUAAGGAGAACUGUUGGUGAUGGGUGACUGGUUGGACUGGGUGAUCCUGUGGGUCUUUUCCAACCUUGGUGGUUCUAUGAUUCUACGAUUCCCUUCUCACUAGGGCAGGCAGAGCACUCCUUGCAGGCUGCAGAGCUGAGCCAGCCCGCCAGGGGUGUGCUGCAGGGGUUCUGAACCAACGAGUCUCCCCCUGGGGAAGCAACGUUCCCUCUGCAGAGAGUGGAUGGAGUGAUUGGGAAGCAGCCUUUGAAGAGCAGAAGGAAGCCAAGUCAAUCCUUAUUUUUUUUUCCACAUGGCACCUGCGCAGCUGCAGCCCUGACUGAGGCUGAUGUUGCCAGAUGCUGAGGCACUUUUCCUUUCAUCCCUAGAUGCUUUCUCCAAGCUCUUUGCUUUCUCUCCCCGCUCCUUAGAGUCAGGGAAGGGAUCCCCCUUGCGAGCCGUGUGCUUGCGGCCUCUGAUUUAAAACAACAGAGUAGGAUGAGCCCUAUGCAGGACCCCAAUGAAUCAGCACUCCAAAGAUGAGGAAUAAAUUAGACAUGUGAAAAGCCCUUUUCCAUAGAAGAAACAAACGCUUUACUAUUUUACCCUGAGGCGCAUGGUAAUUGCUGUUGACUGGGGGGGGGCGGGCAGCCGACCAGAGGAGAAACGCAAUGUGUUGCUGUGGCUGCCAGCUCCUGGACUUAUCCUCUCUUUUCUUUCUCCCCGAGUGCUGUAAAAUACGCCGCGAAUUCAGCACCACCAAUGGAUUCUUUUUCCUUAAGGUGUGGAUUUUUUGAAAUGAGAAAAUGGAACCGAGGGAGCUUGUGAAAGAGGAGAUCCUUGAGACAAAGCGCAGUGCCAGCCAGAAGCUCAGCCUCGGAUACCUGGCCGUCAGACAGAACAUGGGCAUGAAGACGAGAGCAGAGACAGACCCUACAUUGCACCAAGGCCACGUCAGCUAUGCAGGAGACAGUGGACCUGCAAAUGCAACAAGAAACAGGAAGCUCUUCUUUAACGUCCGUUGUUGCCUUCGUCCUCCCAGCGGCUUCUCCUGCAAGAAGAUGUGGAUGAAGAUCAAGUGAGCACCAGGCUGCCGCCAUAUGUGCAGGAACACCUGCAGAAUAAAAAGUCCUGUUCACCAGAGAUGUACCGCUCCUCUUUGCACCCCUGGAAGCAGGCUGGAGGGGAUUGGGCUCUGGGUGUUGCACCCCACCUGAGGGAGAAUGUACGCACUUUCAGAGGGCAGCCCCCAGCCAAGCAGCACCACCCUGGGAAGCCUCAGCUUCAGCCAAGAGCUGGGGGACAAACAGGGGCUCAAGUGCUGAGCAGAGCCCAGGGAACAGAGAACUGGCUUGGGAGCACUGGGGGGUUCCACCACCUGCCAGGAAGCACCCACACUGCGCUUACCAGAACAGAGAGCUUCACGCUGUUGGGCAGCUUCUGGCAUUUCUUGCUCACAACCUCCAGCAGAAGCCAGCUGCAUCACUGCACCUUCCCUGCCGGUGGAGGAGGGCAGGCAAGGUGCAGCUGCCCCCAGGAUGCCGUGUCCCCAGGCACCCCCUACCCCCACGGGAGCAGGGAGGUGCCCCACAGCAGGAAGCAGCACCAGGACCCCAAGUCCUGUUAGGAAGGAAGUGCUGCUGCACCAACAGCCCUGCACCACUGCUCCCCAUACCUCUC